rnacentral:rRNA from 1 species
ACAGCAGUCGCCGCGGGAAUACGGAGGGUGCAAGCGUUAAUCGGAAUCACUGGGCGUAAAGCGCACGCAGGCGGUCUGUCAAGUCAGAUGUGAAAUCCCCGGGCUUAACCUGGGAACUGCAUUUGAAACUGGCAGGCUAGAGUCUUGUAGAGGGGGGUAGAAUUCCAGGUGUAGCGGUGAAAUGCGUAGAGAUCUGGAGGAAUACCGGUGGCGAAGGCGGCCCCCUGGACAAAGACUGACGCUCAGGUGCGAAAGCGUGGGGAGCAAACAGGAUUAGAUACCCCUGUAGUCCCUGUCUCUUAUAC